CACAAAGUGAGCAUGCACCCCUUGGCGACCAGCAUGGAGGAGAGACGACUGCCCCGGCGUUAUCGAAGUGAGACUGUACAGCUUGUUGUGCCCACCAUAGAGGAAAGACCAAUGCCCCUACAUGAAUUCCAACGUCAAGUGCUCCGUAUGCUAAACAUCAUUAGACUCAACCAGCAGCAACAAGAUGACGUUCUUCAUAGUCUUGUGCCUUGAAAGAUUGCUGCAGUAGUGGGA